GACGAACGCUGGCGGCGUGCUUAACACAUGCAAGUCGAACGGAAAGGCCUGCUUUCCCUUGUGGAUUUCGGGUACUCGAGUGGCGAACGGGUGAGUAACACGUGAGUGAUCUGCCCCCAACUUGGUAUAAGCCUGGGAAACUGGGUCUAAUUCCCGAUAGGACCGCAGGGUGGCGCCUGGGGUGGAAAACGAUUUUCUAGUGGUUGGGGAUGAGCUCGCGGCCUAUCAGCUUGUUGGUGGGGUAAUGGCCUACCAAGGCGGCGACGGGUAGCCGGCCUGAGAGGGUGGACGGUCACAUUGGGACUGGGAUACGGCCCAGACUCCUACGGGAGGCAGCAGUGGGGAAUAUUGCACAAUGGGCGGAAGCCUGAUGCAGCGACGCCGCGUGGGGGAUGACGGCCUUCGGGUUGUAAACUCCUUUCGACCGCGAGGAAGCCACCUGGUUGGAAGGGUGGUGACGGUAGUGGUAGAAGAAGCACCGGCUAACUACGUG
rnacentral:rRNA from 1 species